rnacentral:lncRNA from 1 species
GGGUGUAUUUUUGAACUUGUAUUUAAAUGUUUUGGUACUAUUUGCAUGGUAACUAAAAUUUUCCUUCAGAAAACUUCUGGUUCUUAGCCAUGUUCCAGUUUGUUCAUAACAUUCAGUAAUUUUCCACAGUUGGUAUAUAUGUAUGUUUAUCUGGUAUCUACCGCCCUCAUGCUGAUGGUCACAAUGUUGAAUCUUCCGGUGUACUGGUGUAUCUGUAAAAUAUAUAAAUAUAUAUAUUUAUGUAUAAUUUUUACAUAAUCUGGUAUUAUAUUAUGAUGUAUUUGUGUUAUAAUCAUAGAUUGUAGUAAUAAGAAAGCUGAUUUCAUCCAGUUUUAGAAAUAAUUUCUCUUUAAGAAGAAUAUGUAUAUAUUUACGAAGGAUUUAAGACAUAGAAAAUUUUAAAUGGAAUCUUUGGCAAAAGUUUAAAGUAUUUGCGGGGACGCAAAUAAUGGAAAGGGGGUAAAAUGUAGAGUACGACGACUAGGGUACAUGUAUUUUCAUGUAUUUUAUUAUGACGUGUGAUAGACAUGUAAGAUAUUUUUGAUGUAUGUUUUAAAUUGGUAUUAAUAAAGCAUACUGUCUAAUAUUCUGUAAUUUUUAUGUAAGUUAUGAUGUAGGAAACAGUAACUGUGUGAAAUAACUUGUAUUAUACUACUUGUAAUGCUAGUAGUCUGGAACAUUUGAUAAUUGAAGCAAAUAAGUUUUAAUUAACAUUUAAUAAAGUAAAGUUAGAACAAUUACAAUAUUAUGAUUCUUGUAGAAAUAUUGAAUUACUGUCAUUUGUAUAUAUUUGAUAAACCAGUUGAAGUUCAUGUAAUAAUUUACCAGUUCAUAGUAAUAAUCCACUGAAUAAUCCAACUGUAUGUCUUGUAUUUUUGUGAAGAUCCAAUUGUAGCAACUGUAGUAGAUCGUAGUAAAUCGUAGUAAAUUCCACGCACCUGUGCUUGAAUUUUAUGAAUGAAAUGUAUUGACAUGCGCAGUAGAAUCCAUGUGUCACUUGGGACGAUUGUUCAAUAAAAACACUAUUUUUACGUGUUGGCAACUGUUUUCACAUACUUCUUGUAAUUCCUUUUAGUAUUUGUAGUCAACGUCUUCAAUGUUUUGUAGAUGUUAAUGCUCACUUUCCUUGAUAUUUAACAUUUUGGUCCGCCGGUGACACACAUGACUUUUCGCAAUGUUGUUUACGUAUUGUGACUUCCGGUGGCGCUGUAUAUAUUGUUGUAUUUUUAGUUACUAUAGAAAUUUGUUUAGUACCAUGCAAACUUUGUUUAUUAUAUAAAGGUUACUUAAAUUGUAUAUUAUUGUGAUUUUUGUAAUUUAUUAAGAAUUCAAAUAUUUGGUUGGACGGCAAGCGCGCGAUCCAACCAUCCAACCAUCCAACAAUCCAACAAUCCAACAUUGACGUAAUUUCGACGCUUGGUCGUCAGUUCUGCUUAAACUUUUGGUUCUUACAGUUGGUAUUUUUAUUUGCUC